UGAACGCUAGCGGCAGGCUUAACACAUGCAAGUCGAGGGGCAUCGAGAGUAGCAAUACUUGUCGGCGACCGGCGCAAGGGUGCGUAACACGUGAGCAACAUACCCGUUUCAGGAGGAUAACCGGAGGAAACUCUGCCUAAUACUCCAUGACAUCAUCAAACGGCAUCGUUUGAUGAUUAAAGAUUUAUCAGAAACGGCUUGGCUCGCGGGACAUUAGCUUGUUGGUGAGGUAACGGCUCACCAAGGCUACGAUGUCUAGGGGUUCUGAGAGGAAGGUCCCCCACACUGGAACUGAGACACGGUCCAGACUCCUACGGGAGGCAGCAGUGAGGAAUAUUGGACAAUGGUCGGAAGACUGAUCCAGCCAUGCCGCGUGAAGGUUACUGUCCUAUGGAUAUUAAACUUCUUUUGUAUGAGAGCAAUAAGGUGCACGCGUGCACCGAUGAGAGUAUCAUACGAAUAAGCAUCGGCUAACUCCGUG
rnacentral:rRNA from 1 species